rnacentral:rRNA from 1 species
UACGUAGGGAGCAAGCGUUGUCCGGAUUUACUGGGUGUAAAGGGUGCGUAGGCGGGAACGCAAGUCAGACGUGAAAACUAUGGGCUUAACUCAUAGCCUGCGUUUGAAACUGCGAUUCUUGAGUGAAGCAGAGGUAGGCGGAAUUCCCGGUGUAGCGGUGAAAUGCGUAGAGAUCGGGAGGAACACCAGUGGCGAAGGCGGCCUACUGGGCUUUAACUGACGCUGAGGCACGAAAGCGUGGGUAGCAAACAGG